UCCACUCCCUCCCACGGCCCAUGGAAGAGAAAGAGCAGCCCCUGUGGCAGGCAGCUCUGCACUGAAGGGAAGCUGCGGCCCAGAGAGGUUCAGAUGUUUCUCCAGGCCACACAGCCAAUUCAGAAUACCAAUAAAGACGAAUUUACACCAUGUUAGCAGUCAAUCCAUCAUACACGGCGAAUCUUGGGAAAGCAGCUCGCGUGCUGAGUUGCUCUCAUCCUGGUGGGGCAGCCCAAGUCCCUCCAGCAAGCAACCCGGAAGAAGAACAUCUGCCACCCAUCCUUCGGGAUUCGAGGAAAGCUUCCCCAAGCGCUCUCCUACUUGGGGCCGAGCACCUUUUUUCACCCAAGAACCCCAUAGGGAAGCAAAAGCGUAGUGGCGUUGUUGUGGGCGUGUGUUCUAAUAAACUGUCGGU